rnacentral:rRNA from 1 species
UACAGAGGGGGCAAGCGUUGUUCGGAAUUACUGGGCGUAAAGGGCGCGUAGGCGGCCUCUUAAGUCGAACGUGAAGGCCCCGGGCUCAACCCGGGAACUGCGUCCGAUACUGGGGGGCUUGAAUCCGGGAGAGGGAUGUGGAAUUCCAGGUGUAGCGGUGAAAUGCGUAGAUAUCGAGAGGAACACCAGAGGCGAAGACGGGUCGCUGGGCCGACACUGACGCUGAAGCGCGAAAGCCAGGGGAGCAAACGGG